rnacentral:rRNA from 1 species
AACGAACGCUGGCGGCAUGCCUAACACAUGCAAGUCGAACGAGACCUUCGGGUCUAGUGGCGCACGGGUGCGUAACGCGUGGGAACCUGCCUUUAUGCUCGGAAUACCUCAGAGAAAUUUGAGCUAAUACCGGAUGAUGUCUUCGGACCAAAGAUUUAUCGCAUUUGGAUGGGCCGGCGUUGGAUUAGCUUGUGGGUGGGGUAAAGGCCGAUCAAGGCGACGAUCCAUAGCUGGGAUGAGAGGAUGAGCAGCCACACUGGGACUAAGACACGGCCCAGACUCCUGCGGGAGGCAGCAGUGGGGAAUAUUGGACAAUGGGCGAAAGCCUGAUCCAGCAAGGCCGCGUGAGUGAUGAAGUCCUUAGGGUAGUAAAGCUCUUUUACCCGAGAUGAUAAUGACAGUAUCGGGAGAAUAAGCUCCGGCUAACUCCGUG